rnacentral:lncRNA from 1 species
UCAACUAUACUUGUUUCUAAUCUUAGGCAGAUGUGUACAUACAAGAUGGAAAAUAUACAAAGGAGAAGUUUUCCUCCAAUAUGAAGGACAACUAGUAGAGAUGGAUUCACAAGGAGAUGACACUUACGUUGAUGAGAUGGAGGUAGGACAAAAGAUGAAGUCCCUGAAAUCAGUACUCCUGGGAGCUAGUUGACAGAAACUGGUAGUUGCAUUUGUUGCUUAAUGUGGGGGUGAAUAUGUAUCCACGUUCCUGUCUUCUACAACACAUGGUUUCAAGCAGUGUAGUGCAAGUAUAUUUAUUAAGACCAAUUUGGUGGAAGAAUCAGUUUAACAUCGUAGCAUUUUUGGCUUGAUUAUUGGAAGAAAAUUCCAAGCUCAUAUAAUCAGACUAAUAAAAAAAAUGAGCUCUUGAUAAUACAUGUAUUGUGUGUCUUUCCAGUGAAAUUUGAUAAUUCCUCAAGUAAAUACAUUUAGUUUGAAUAUCAAUACCUUUUUGCACAGUGAUGUUGGAGCUAUGUAGGAAUCAUGUGUCUUGUCUCGACUAGUUGAGCCCAUUCCAUUCUAUCAAACUUUUAUACUUCAAUGAAGUUACAUUAGUAGACUAGUAAAUAAACAAGUUUUUGUCAGUACUAGAAGUACAUGUUUUUAUCCUUGUCUUUGAACUGGAAGGCCUGCAGAAAAGAGGCAGAGCAAAAAAAAACUUUAAUGCAUAUCGGAUCAGUAUUCCCGCGAUUUUGCCCAUGCCGGAAAUCUCUGUUUGCAUUGCGUCAUGAAUGAAUGACAGCAUAGUAAAUUACAAAAGUAUAGUUAAGGAUGAUUUUAAUAAAGAAAUCACCCCAAACAUUUAAUAGGUUUAUGAUAUGCAAGAAAAUAUACCUUCAUGUGUUUUCGGUUCGAAUCAGAAUUUUCUUCUCUCAGGAACCUGCCCAUGGACUGUUAUUCUGCAAGCCUUGUUAACCGUCCGAUUGGCAUUUAUCCUCAUUAUGGAAAUUCCUAUCUGGAACUCAAGCACAUGAAAGAUAUUAUUAAUCUUACUUAUUGAUUUGCUUGUACCAGUCAGUUUGUUGCAAUAUUAUUCAAGAAAAUUUGUAUCAUGUUUUAUCUUAUUAAAAUCAAAUUUAAAGCCGUAUACCUUUGUUGCAGAUGAACCACGCUGCUGGGACAGGUCAUUAAAGUAUAUGCUUGGCAUUGCUCAUCAUUGUUGGGUCCUUGACCACCAUUAUGUCCUGAAAUGCUUAGAAGCAGGUUACUUUUUGCCAGAGCACCACCUUUGUAUACCAACACAAACAUAGAAUUAUGGAAAUUGUAAAGUUUCAAAACCUGCUUUAAGGAAGAAUUUAAAAUACUGGGAGACAUAUGCUUUCCACAAGGGCUUGGUGUUUCUUUGUCUAGACAGUAAAAAGAUGAGAGGUAUGACGAUUUCUUUCACUGGAGAAUAAGCAGACAUUCCAAAAGGUGCAGCAGAAGAUACUGUUCAGUCAUUAGGAGGAGUAGUCAAAAAGAACAGCUCUAUCAUUGUUUCUCUAGAGGAGACAGGUGGCCCAAAUAAUGUGGAUAGACUAUGGCUGUUUGAUUGUCUGAGUAACUUCAAUGUUCUUUACAUGGGUCUGUAUUUAAAUGUGAAUUUCUUUGAGGACGUCAGUAAAGAAAGUGUCACCUCAGAUAAGGACCUGGAUAAUGGUGAAGAUGAAGGUUAUGUUCGACACAGUGGGGAUUAAGAAAGUGACAGUAGUAUGAGCAGUAUCAUUCAGAUAAUGAAAGUGGAAAAGCAAAUAAAGAAAACAUAAAGACUGCGAAAGUUGUCGAAUCACAUGACAAUGCUGAUGAAAAUCUAGAUAAUGACAAAGAUACGGACAUUUGUCAUUACUUACUUUGAUAAAAAGUUCCCAUAAUGCAUCCCAUCACCCAGACAUGCUUAUAACAAGAGAUUUUGCAUAAUUUUUAUCGUCGCCGAUGAAAUCGGGAGGGUUGCAUUGAAAUGGCAUUGUCCGUCUGUCUGUCCGUCCAUCUGCAGCCAUUUCUCAGUAACUAGCAGGUAGAAUUUCAUGAA